AUUGAACGCUGGCGGAAUGCUUUACACAUGCAAGUCGAACGGCAGCACGGGAGCUUGCUCCUGGUGGCGAGUGGCGAACGGGUGAGUAAUAUAUCGGAACGUAUCCAAUAAUGGGGGAUAACUAGUCGAAAGAUUAGCUAAUACCGCAUACGCCCUGAGGGGGAAAGCUAGGGACCGCGAGGCCUGGCGUUAUGGAGCGGCCGAUAUCUGAUUAGCUAGUUGGUGAGGUAAAGGCUCACCAAGGCGACGAUCAGUAGCUGGUCUGAGAGGACGACCAGCCACACUGGAACUGAGACACGGUCCAGACUCCUACGGGAGGCAGCAGUGGGGAAUUUUGGACAAUGGGCGCAAGCCUGAUCCAGCCAUUCCGCGUGAGUGAAGAAGGCCUUCGGGUUGUAAAGCUCUUUCGCAAGGGAAGAAAACUUACCCUCUAACAUAGGGUGAGGCUGACGGUACCUUGAUAAGAAGCACCGGCUAACUACGUGCCAGCAGCCGCAGUAA
rnacentral:rRNA from 1 species